UGAAUUAUUAAAUGGCCGCAGUACCCUGACUGUGCUAAGGUAGCGUAAUCAGUUGGCUUUUAAAUGGAGUCGAGAAUGAAUGGAUCUACGGGAACUAGCUGUCUCUUUUUGAUUAGGCUGAAUUUAUUAAAAAGGUGAAAAACCCUUUCUGUUGAAAAAAGACGAGAAGACCCUUAGAGUUUUUAUAAACGAUUUAAUAUAAGUUGUUAUAAGUUUUUUUGCUGGGGCGGCAGGGAGACAAAUUUUUAACUCUCCUUUUUUAGUUUUGGAAGACGUUGUUUUAAAGCUACAUGAAACUACCUUAGGGAUAACAGCAUAAUUAAAUUUUUAGUUUGUGACCUCGAUGUUGGACUAGGAAAAACUCUUGGCUAGCAGCCAAGAGUUUUGUUCUGUUCGAACAAUUUCUCCUAC
rnacentral:rRNA from 1 species